rnacentral:rRNA from 1 species
AUAACGGAGAGUUUGAUCCUGGCUCAGGACGAACGCUGGCGGCGUGCGUAACGCAUGCAAGUCGAGCGCGUCAUCACGAAAGUGAUGAUGAGCGGCGGACGGGUGAGUAACGCGUGAGCAACCUGAC